AAUUGCUAAAAAUGUAAUUGUUUUUUCACAGAAGAGGAAUACUCUCUGCUGUCAAACCUACCUGAAGUCUCCAAAGUCGACGAGGAGUCGGACGAAUUUCAGAACGUGGUGAAGAACUUCUAUGAGACCAUAAGGGAGUUUCACAGCAAAAUCAGAAUCAUAAAGGUGGAGAAGCUCAUGAAUCGACUGCUGUACAACCAGUACAAGUUGAAAAAGGCGAGCGUCCUGCAGCGCGCCACGUAUCCCGUGAUCGAACAAACGCUCUAUCACGGCACGAGUGAGAACAGCGUGAAGGAGAUCUGCGUGCACGGAUUCAACAGAAGCUUUUGUGGGAAGAACGCCACAGUUUACGGUCAGGGGGU